GGAAAAAACCCAGUCAAACACUUAAAGGCUAGACUCCCUACGGACUGAGGAACUGAGCUACUGUCUGCGCCUUUGUGGUCAGGGGACUGUGCAGGGAAUGCAAACUCUAGUCCCCUAGAGGAAGGCACUGCAUGCCCUGUGCUCCAGGGCAAACAGAAGGAGCAGGACUGCUACCACCAGUUUUACCUGAGAGCACCAUGGCUUAAUUUACUGGCCAGUUCCAGUAAAAGGUGCAAGUUUUAAACUUUGCUGCUGGACACCUGCUCUGGAGUCCUGACAAACCCUGUGGAUCCUGCCAGCUGAGGAGGAGCCUUCCCAGAUCCCAGUCCCACCAGCUCUCCCCAGGUCAUCACGAUGACUCAACAUGAACCAAACCAUCAGAGCUCCAACUUGCCGUUUG
rnacentral:lncRNA from 1 species